rnacentral:rRNA from 1 species
GACGAACGCUGGCGGCGUGCUUAACACAUGCAAGUCGAACGGAAAGGCCCUGCUUUUGUGGGGUGCUCGAGUGGCGAACGGGUGAGUAACACGUGAGUAACCUGCCCUUGACUUUGGGAUAACUUCAGGAAACUGGGGCUAAUACCGGAUAGGAGCUCCUGCUGCAUGGUGGGGGUUGGAAAGUUUCGGCGGUUGGGGAUGGACUCGCGGCUUAUCAGCUUGUUGGUGGGGUAGUGGCUUACCAAGGCUUUGACGGGUAGCCGGCCUGAGAGGGUGACCGGCCACAAUGGGACUGAGAUACGGCCCAGACUGCUACGGGAGGCAGCAGUGGGGAAUAUGGCACAAUGGGCGGAAGCCUGAUGAAGCAACGCCGCGUGCGGGAUGACGGCCUUCGGGUUGUGAACCGCUUUCGCCUGUGACGAAGCGUGAGUGACGGUAAUGGGUAAAGAAGCACCGGCUAACUACGUG